AUAUAUAAAUAUACACAGAUGUGUGUAUGUAUGUGUGCGCGUGUGUCUGUAUGCAUGUAUGUAUGUUGAUGGGACAAAACGGGUUGAGAUAACAUUUUCAGCCAGCUUUAUUAUUUCUAGAGCAGGCAGAUACAUAUAUAAUAUACAUAUAUAUUAUGUCCCUAUAUAAAUAAAACAGCUAGUUGAAUUUUUUUUUAUCCCAACUCUUUUUGUCCCAAUAAGAAACACUUUCAACUCAAUUUUCAGUUCAUUUACAGCAUUGUUCCUCUUCAACACCCCCCUCCCCCCCAGUGAUUGCUCAAAAACCCAAACCUGAACAUUUGCAGCUGAAAAUACUUGCACUUGGUUUGUUUCUGGAAGUUUUGGAGGGGGGCGGAGGAGGGAAGAGAGUGUGUGGUGGGUUUUUUUUGUCAUGGAAAUACACACACACACAGAGUGAAAAUCUGACAAAAAAAAAUUGCGUUUGUUGUCAUUUUCAUGAGAAGAGAAAAUCAUUUUCUUCACCACUCCAUUGAACUAUUAUUUUAGUACCAUUAUUAUUUACUUAUUCAUUUGCUACUUGUACUCAGGGUCAAAGUAGCUGCACAAAAUGGCAUAACAGGGAGUACAUUUCCCUUGUCCCAUAGAAAUUGCAGUCUAAGGCAAUGAGUUUGCUGUUGAUUCAAUGCUCAUGGACAUUUAUGACUAUAGUUAGCACCAUACAUUUAUCAGGAUCUGAGCUGCACAGGAAAUAGAUAAUAAUCACGCAACCCUCUGAGUUUCUGGGGGAUUUCCAAGGUGGCAAUUUAAGUGAAGGGGACUCUACCCUCACCUGGAGUCAGUGAAACUCUAUAAACCACUACAUUGAUUUCAUGCUGGUGUCUCCCUUGAAGAGACCCAGCUGUUCUAUCUAAGGCUAAUUGAAUGGGGCAGGAAAGUAAAAGCAGCAAAAGAACUUGUGAGCAUUAGAGUCAAGGAAAGGGAGAAAAGAACACAAGUAAAAAGAUGGACUUUUAAUAACGAAUCUGUCUUAGACAUACUGAUUACUCACUUGAAGAGUUAAAAUACAUCCCCGAGGCCUUUGCUGUGGGCACUCAAGGAAAAGCAAAGGGCCAUUUGAGCAGAGUAGCUGAGUGGAAGGACCUAGGAAAGAGGCAGGUUAACACUGAAUUGCAUGCGUCAGUGGAUAAUGCACACUGGCUUGUGAAGGGUGAACAUAGCUUUUUGCUGUAGCUUUGGAACAGCUGUCCAGGUAACUUCUUUUGAAUUCUCUUUUAUUUUUCAUCUCACCAGCUGUAGCAUAUAUCGCCCUGCUCUGAGUUUUCCUCUAUUCCCUUCUGCAUCUGGCACAAGCCACGCUGGCAUUCUCUAAAGUGCACGUGUGUGUAUUUUUAACACGGACCUGGUGAACACUGGAAAUGAGGGUUUUAGAUUCAGAGCCUGCAGGCAACUGCCCAAGUACCAACAAAAACCUGUGUCCGCAACAGAGCACAAUCCGCUCAGUGCAUAUCCUCUUUAUGCAACAUCAAUUUCUGGAAAUCAAACUCCUUCAUGUAGCAAGGCCACACACUAGCUGCUUUGGUUUUCAAUAAGCUGUCUCAGUUCUCAGGCUGGCACAGUUGUAAUCUGAUGUUAUCAGGCACUGAAAAUGCUGCUGACUGGGAAAGGUCUAGAGGUAAGAGCAGGUGAGAGGGAGAAUCUGCUUUUUUUUUAUUCUCUGCUGUGCCAAAAAUGAGGCAGGAUCAAUUAAGGGAAGUCACAGAUUAACCAUUAGGGCUAAGUAUAAACAGUCAAAAACCCCAAGGCUGAAAUGAUUUAAUCUUCACAGGUUAGUCUAAACUGCAUUGAUUGAACUGAUAAGCUAGUGAACAGACAUUCACGUUUGAUUCUGGAAAAGCAGCCACAUGCCUGCAAUGGCCCAGGCUAGAAGUUGGGGAGGGCACUAGAGCACACCUCCCUGCUCAGCUGGAGCAGACAGCUAUGCCAAGCUUAGCUCACCCACCCUGCGAGGGGGGUUUACAGGGGAGGUGCAAAGCAUCCUGGGAUGCUGGGGGACUGAGUUAACUUGAAUCUGGAGGGGAUCUAGGACAGAAGUUCAAUAAACCAAUUUAACUUAAAUCAGAUGAGUCUGAUACUACAUCCAUCCAGGUUUAUCUUAUACUGAUUUUGAAAACGGUUUAUGUGCACUGAACUUCGUUGUGUUACAGAUUUGAAUGAGUUUCUGAUCAUUUAUACCAGUUUAUGUGUCAUUUCUGUUCCUAGCCUAGGUGCUUCAGUUUGUCUAUACAGUGAAUAUUCAUUCUUGCCAUGGUGCUGUAAGACUUAAUUAAUGAGAGAAAACCUCUGUAAUCCUGUAGUCAAUGUAAUAAAAACAGCCAUAAUUUAAAGGGCCUAUAAAUGCCCCAAAUAGUCAAAUUGCAGGAUUACCCAAAAGGCAUAUUGGGAAUUAUAGCUACACAUUUAACAACUAGAACUAUAGAUAAGUGGAUGAGCUCAUCUGAAGUAAAAAUGUCUUUUUAUUUUAAGAUUUAAAUAUUUGAUAAACCCUUCUUCCCUUCUCUAUUUGAAUAUGUUACUACAAGUUCUGCGUACAAACUUAUAGCCUUGUGUUUUAAGCCAUAAACUAGGUAAUUUCUAUUAGUGUUUUCUCCAUUGAUUUUCAUUAACUUUUGGGUUUUGAAAGAUUAAAAUGGCAUUGCCAUUUGGUAUUGCCAAAAGUCAGAAACUCAAAUUAGGGAUCUAUGCAAAGUUUGGGGACUGCUUAUGCUGGAGAAAGCACUCAGAAUCAAAGUCCUAUUUACAGAGAUUUUAGAACAUAUGUUUCUGUUGCCUGUAUAUAAAAUGUAUAGAGACUAAUCUUUGUUUCUUUAAAUGUGAAUCUCCAGCUGUGUGAAUGUACUAGAUGUUCCUGAACAUAUCUGAAGGACUGAAGCUUACUUUCUAAAGGGUAAUGUUACUGUAGCCAAGGUGAAUGUAACUGGAAUUUUUACUUGAACAAUUGUGCUGGUCUCGGGCUAUGAAAAGAUUAAACUAAAACGUGCAUACGCUCCUAGCCACCAGCAUGGUUUGAACCUGGGGACUCCAGUGUUAGCAGUCACUGACAUUUGCUAAGGAAAGUAAGCUUUCAACCUUUUACUACUUCUACAAUGGGGACAGAGGAACUAGGAGUCCCAUUCUGCCAGUUUAGGUCACAUCUGCACAAUGUCAGUCUAACAAAAGUCCUCAAAGUCCUGAUAAAAGUACAGUGGGGCAUGAGAUAAUGGCUUGCUCUCUUCUUAGGGUUAAAUUUCACUUAAAGCUCCUUGGUGUUCUUCAUGGGACUCCGAUAACGAUAUGGUGGCCCUGAAAAUAUUUAUUCCACAAGUUAUCAUUGAACUGUAGUGCAUCGCAUGGACAGCAAGGGUAACGCACACGUGACACUAUGGGGUAAUCUAAUGUAAAGUGAAGAAUGAGUAGUUGUCAGAAUGCCCAGCACUUGCACAUACAUUUUCAUCCAAAGGUAUGUGAGCUUCACUCUACCAUUUUUGGUAUGGGGAAACAAAGGCAUAAAGAUAGAUACAGAGAAGAUCCUGGGGAAAAUUCUUGGUAGAAUAGGGAUAAUGAUAUUGACUUUGGAUGGAGAGACCUAAAAAUGAAAAACACCCUGAAAAAUCUAGGUAUUAUUCUUAUUUCAUUCUGUGAAUUAAAUUUUCCAAUAGAUGAUUCAAGAUCAGCCAUCUCGGCCCUAGUCCUGGUUCCCAUGUGUGCAUUAGAAGUGAUCUGGAGUUCAGUCUUUGAAUCUGCAGCGGUCCCCUGAUGGUGAGGUGCAUAUUCCCCGAGUGGCCUUGGACUAGUCACUUAAUUGCUUUGUGACUUAAGAAGUUCCUGGGAUACAUAAUGGGGCUAAGAUUUCCUUCUUUGUCUGCCUUGUCUAUUUAGGGCAUGAGCUCUUCGGAGUGGCAAUGGUUUUUUCUUAUGAUUAUGCAUGGUACCUCAAUGAGGUUGUGCUCUUCCUUGAAGCACACGGUGUAACACAAAUUAAUAAUAAUAAUCCCAAUAUGAAUAAAAGUCCAUACAUGGAGACACUUGGUCUGACCUAGGUUCACCGGAAACCUGGUGAGAGACUUUGGCUUGGGGAAUAUUUGGACAUGCACAGUCCAUCACCUCAGCAGGGGAUGAUGGGUGUAGGCCUGUCAGUGCAAAGCUUCUCUUUAAACCCAGCCCUCCAUACUUUCUCCUCCAUGUAGGUCAGCAGGACUAAUUUGCUGAGGCCUGGGAGAUUUGCCACUCAAAAUAUGCAAUACAAAAAACAAAAUAAUACAGCUUGAAAACCAAAAGAUGAAAUGUUGCAGGUGGAGGAAGAAAAAGCAAAGAAAAUCUGCUCAGACAGAGAGACAAAACAAGCAACUGCUUACGGGACUUGGCAGCAAAUGGAGCUGCCCCCAGCAACACCCCCCUCCCUUCUAUUCAGAGUCUAGUUCAGUAUGUACUGAUGGUGGAUCGCAGUACCAGCUAUGCGGAGAUUCAGGCAGACACUUCUGUCUCACCAGCUGCUCUGAAAAAUCCAUGUUCAUAGUGAAGCACAAGGGGAAGCAAAUCUAUGAGAUGGAGCUCGUGGUCACAGAACGAAAGCCCUGUGCCUUCCCCAGUUCCCCCCUCCAACAGCACCGCUCUCAACUCACAGCAUCAGCAUGGGGUUGUCAAGAACAAUCUCCAGGGCUGCUGAGUGAUUUGCCCUAAAAUAUACAGUAGUUGCAGCCCUCACUGUUUCUAGCUGGGCUCCUAUCAGGACUCAUAAGCUAAGCAGUGUCAGCUGAGGUCAGCACUUGAAUAGGAGACUACUACAGGACAACCCAGGGUGCUGGAGGAAUAGUGGUGUGGGAUGAUUUGGUAACUGGUGCCCAUCUUUCUGGAUCUGUAUUGAGCCGAUACCUCUCUGUGCGCUGAUGGAUACACCACCUUCUAGCUGUGAUGUUGAAGUGGAACCUAUAGAUUCCUUGUCACUGUUGUAAAAAGAAAUGGUGUAAAUCUUGUAUUAUGGCCAAAUAAGGUGAAAUCUGGAUACCAAGAGUCUAUUCACCUGCAUUGUGCAUAUUUCUAGAUCUCAUUCAUUUCCUAUCAAAAGCUGUUACAUCACACUGCACUUCCAGGAUGCUGGUGCGAAUCACCCUAGAUAGAGCUGCAUUUCAGUGCUCGAAGAGUGAAUCUUUGCAUAUAGUUCAUACAAACAGAAACACUUGUAAAGCACUUGGGAAUCCAUCUGGCUGAAAAGUGCUAUAUAUAAAAGCAGGAUCAUUAUCACCAAAAACAAAUUCAGUAUGGUGUUUCUCUCACAUUUUUUCUUAAUUUCAGUGAACCAGUUCUUUAUAAUGAAUAAUUUCCAUUGGAAGACUUUGUUUUUCCUGUAACAUAAAGCUCCUUGGUCUGGUUUUCAUUAGCCUUGCAAUGAAUUAGCCAAGCGGGCUUUUCCUUUCAGUUUGGUUGGGAAAGUACCAUUGGUAUGUGUCUGCCUUUUUGUGGGAAAGUGGAUUUUUUCUUAUUAUGAUUUUCAGUUUGGUUUGCAAUGUGUUAAGAGAGCCUUGAGAUGACAAUCACGAAUUGUGCUGUUCAAAAGUUCAUCUAUAUGCUGCUGUGCUGCUAGUAAAUCCACAGUUUCUAUGGUGUACCAUUAGCUGCAGUUUUCAUGGGACCUAAAGAAACUGUGUGUGUGUAACAUAUAUAAAAUAAAAAAUGGUUAGUGACCUUACCGUCA